AGCCGUGCCGUGUCGGGUAGCAGAAAUGCCCCGGAGGUGUUCGCAUUUGAAGCCUUAGCAAUACGUAGCACGGCCUU
rnacentral:ncRNA from 1 species